CCGCCCGUAGCUCAGCUGGAUAGAGUAGUGGCUUCCGAAGCCAUUGGUCACAGGUUCGAAUCCUGUCGGGCGGGCCA
rnacentral:tRNA from 1 species